rnacentral:rRNA from 1 species
GACGAACGCUGGCGGCGUGCUUAACACAUGCAAGUCGAACGGAAAGACCCUGCUUUUGUGGGGUGCUCGAGUGGCGAACGGGUGAGUAACACGUGAGUAACCUGCCCUUGACUUUGGGAUAACUUCAGGAAACUGGGGCUAAUACCGGAUAGGAGCUCCUGCUGCAUGGUGGGGGUUGGAAAGUUUCGGCGGUUGGGGAUGGACUCGCGGCUUAUCAGCUUGUUGGUGGGGUAGUGGCUUACCAAGGCUUUGACGGGUAGCCGGCCUGAGAGGGUGACCGGCCACAUUGGGACUGAGAUACGGCCCAGACUCCUACGGGAGGCAGCAGUGGGGAAUAUUGCACCAUGGGCGGAAGCCUGAUGCAGCAACGCCGCGUGCGGGAUGACGGCCUUCGGGUUGUAAACCGCUUUCGCCUGUGACGAAGCGUGAGUGACGGUAAUGGGUAAAGAAGCACCGGCUAACUACGUG